GAUGAACGCUGGCGGCGUGCCUAAUACAUGCAAGUCGAGCGAACAGACGAGGAGCUUGCUCCUCUGACGUUAGCGGCGGACGGGUGAGUAACACGUGGAUAACCUACCUAUAAGACUGGGAUAACUUCGGGAAACCGGAGCUAAUACCGGAUAAUAUAUUGAACCGCAUGGUUCAAUAGUGAAAGACGGUUUUGCUGUCACUUAUAGAUGGUUCCGCGCCGCAUUAGCUAGUUGGUAAGGUAACGGGUUACCAAGGCAACGCUGCGUAGCCGACCGGAGAGGGUGAUCGGCCACACUGGAACUGAGACACGGUCCAGACUCCUACGGGAGGCAGCAGUAGGGAAUCUUCCGCAAUGGGCGAAAGCCUGACGGAGCAACGCCGCGUGAGUUAUGAAGGUCUUCGGAUCGUAAAACUCUGUUAUUAGGGAAGAACAAAUGUGUAAGUAACUAUGCACGUCUUGACGGUACCUAAUCAGAAAGCCACGGCUAACUACGUG
rnacentral:rRNA from 1 species